rnacentral:miRNA from 1 species
GGUUGUCCAUGAUGUGUUCAUU